UUGUGAUUGGCGUGGAACGUAGUUCUAAUUUUAUUUUCUAACCAAAGUUAUACCUAUUACCUACCAUUUACCUUACCUACCAUCGUAAAGUAAUAUUAGAAAUUUUAUCAUUAAUUUUUGUCAAUUUUAUGCCAUGAUGCCUGCUUAAAGAAUAUAUAGGUGAUCGUUAAAAAUGACGAAAAAAAUAUAAUUCCUACCUAUCUAUUUAAAGUAUUUCAUAUGGUAUCACUGGAUACGUUUAAUUGCCAAGGUUCCUUUUUUAAGAUAACAUGUGUGAUCGCUGUACUGUUGCACCUACCUACUCGCACUAUUAUUGCGGUCAUCAUGUAAAAAUCAACCUUGAUGUAUGUUAUUACCUGUAAGUAUAUGUACUGUGUGAAUUGAAUAUUUAGGUAUGGAAUGAACAGUACUCACUUUCGGCCCCGAGGCCCGAAUCCUAAGCUUGGAACUUUCUGAGUCGCAGGUUCGCAGCCCAAAAAUGCUUAAGUGGGCACAGUGGUACAUAUGUAUAUGUACUAUAAUGUUCAUUUACCUACCUAUACCUAAUCAGUCCUUAAUAUUUGUCCAACAUCUCUUAAAUAAGUUUUUCAGAUUUUCUCCUACAAACAGUUUUCAAAAUCAAGCCUCACUGCCCCAGUGAACUAGAAUGCUACAAAUAUGCUCCGACAGUUUUCAAAAUCGAGCCAGUGAACUAGCAUGCUACAAAAUAUGCUCCGAUCGUGAGUUGCGAUUUUGAAGAUCUUUCAAUUUAUUCAAGGUGGUAAUCUCAGAAUGCGUUAAAUAAUUUGCAUACAAUCCCCUCAAGUUGCUACUUUUUUUAGUGGAAUUCUCCUAUUUUUUUCUUUUGUUUCUCGAUUUUAUGAAUUUUAUGAUGAAUUUAUUACUAUAAAAUGACUUUGUUUUGCCAUUUUUUAAAGUAUAUUUUUUUAUCACUGCA